CACAUGCAAGUCGAGGGGAAACGACAUCGAAAGCUUGCUUUUGAUGGGCGUCGACCGGCGCACUUGCCUGAGUAACGCGUAUCCAACCUGCCCACCACUUGGGGAUAACCUUGCGAAAGUAAGACUAAUACCCAAUGAUAUCUCUAGAAGACAUCUGAAAGAGAUUAAAGAUUUAUCGGUGAUGGAUGGGGAUGCGUCUGAUUAGCUUGUUGGCGGGGUAACGGCCCACCAAGGCGACGAUCAGUAGGGGUUCUGAGAGGAAGGUCCCCCACAUUGGAACUGAGACACGGUCCAAACUCCUACGGGAGGCAGCAGUGAGGAAUAUUGGUCAAUGGGCGAGAGCCUGAACCAGCCGAGUAGCGUGCAGGAUGACGGCCCUAUGGGUUGUAAACUGCUUUUAUAAGGGAAUAAAGUGAGUCUCGUGAGACUUUUUGCAUGUACCUUAUGAAUAAGGACCGGCUAAUUCCGUGCCAGCAGCCGCGGUAAUACGGAAGGUCCGGGCGUUAUCCGGAUUUAUUGGGUUUAAAGGGAGCGUAGCCGGAGAUUAAGCGUGUUGUGAAAUGUAGACGCUCAACGUCUGCACUGCAGCGCGAACUGGUUUCCUUGAGUACGCACAAAGUGGGCGGAAUUCGUGGUGUAGCGGUGAAAUGCUUAGAUAUCACGAAGAACUCCGAUUGCGAAGGCAGCUCACUGGAGCGCAACUGACUCUGAAGCUCGAAAGUGCGGGUAUCGAACAGGAUU
rnacentral:rRNA from 1 species